AUUGAACGCUGGCGGAAUGCUUUACACAUGCAAGUCGAGCGCGAAAGUUCUUCGGAAUGAGUAAAGCGGCGGACGGGUGAGUAAUACAUGGGAAUCUGCCUGGUAGUGGGGGACAACGUUUCGAAAGGAACGCUAAUACCGCAUACGCCCUACGGGGGAAAGGGGGGGAUCUUCGGACCUCUCGCUAUCAGAUGAGCCCA
rnacentral:rRNA from 1 species